rnacentral:tRNA from 1 species
GCCCUGGUGGUCUAGUGGUUAAGAUUUUGCACUCUCACCUCAGCGGCCUGGGUUUGUUUCCCAGUCAGGGAA